rnacentral:rRNA from 1 species
UACGGGGGGGGCAAGCGUUGUUCGGAAUUACUGGGCGUAAAGGGCUCGUAGGCGGCUAACUAAGUCAGACGUGAAAUCCCUCGGCUUAACCGGGGAACUGCGUCCGAUACUGGAUGGCUUGAAUCCGGGAGAGGGAUGUGGAAUUCCAGGUGUAGCGGUGAAAUGCGUAGAUAUCUGGAGGAACACCGGUGGCGAAGGCGGCAUCCUGGACCGGUAUUGACGCUGAGGCGCGAAAGCCAGGGGAGCAAACGGG